GUGCUCAUUUUAGCAGCACAUAUACUAAAAUUGGAAUGACACGGAGAUUAAUAUGGCCCUUGUACAAGGAUGACACUCAAAUUCAUGAAGCGUUCUGUAUUAUU